CCAUGAGCCGGCAUCGCGAAUCAAUGAACACAUUUUAACAGUCGUUUAAAGUUCGUUUUGGUUUAACCGAGUUCAUUUGUUGUUCAUUCUUGUUAAAAUAAACGACCGUCAAAAAAGUUAACGACUGCUCGAUAUCGCAUAUAGGCAAACACGGGGAAAAAAAUCGAGCACUAUAAUUAAACGACUGUUAAUUUGCAUCGCAUACGCUCUUGACAGUCGUUUGUUUAACGCAGUUUAACGUUUUCGCAGACACACAUGGCUACUGCAUCGCGUCACCCACCGCCGUCGUGGGGAAUGGAUAAUUUUCACGCAAACUGGCGGUAUGGUGUAUAAUGGAACGGGCAAAGAUGACGCUACCUGCAUCCUGCUUGGCGCGAUGGCCAAUAACGAUAUUGAUGAUGUUCGGCGCCGGUACCGUCAUGCGUAACGAGUUCUGUUCCACGCGCCGUACAUCAUCAACCAGUACGAGAAUCCGAUGCCGAUUUCGGUGCAAUCCUGGAUCCGCAUCGACGGAUCGGGUAACAUCGACACCGCUGGACGCAGAGCGAUGACUAACCCGCAAUCCCGUACCGGAAACUGGAACCUGCAGGCCGUCGUAGGCAGUGCUGGUACUGGUUUUCGCACUUGGACUGUCCGUUUGUUGGCGUUCACAACGACCUGAAUCAUCGUGCUCAAUCAACUGUGGCCUGAAGAAGCCAACGACGUCAAUGCGGCCCCAAGUCCAUCGCUUUACGCAUGUACCCCCCCUCCCCGGUGCUGGAGGAAAAAAUCGCAAAGUGCGGGAAAAGGUUACUACGGCCGUACUAUCGGAUGAAACUCGUGCCGAACACCGCGAAGGCGACAAGAAGGAAGCGAAGGAAGGUGCCAAGACGGCCUCAAAGGGUAAAACGCAGCGUUCGGUAGCAAGCAUAACACGGCCAAGGUGGAGGUGCAAGCUUUAUACAUCGCAACACCGGUCAAGGAGGAAUUGAAGACGGAUAAUUCGACUGACUCUGGAACGGCUUUUCGCGCACCAGCUAUUGCUACCGAGAACGACCGGCAACAGAUAAGGUAGCAGGCAGGACAGUGAACAAAACGUCCAGAGAACCGGAAGUGCUGUAACGUUCGAGUGUGUGAAACAUGAUGUUUAAAACCUGUACCUUGAACCCAUUGAUGCGGCGUGCUUUUCUUGCGUUUGAUUUGUGAUUGUACAAUACAAUUUGUACUACAAUGUUUCAAUUCGUUUUAAAUAUUAAAAACAAGCUGUGUGCUCUCUCUGAAUGUCUCAUUAAUAA